UUCCAGACUCCUACGGGAGGCAGCAGUGGGGAAUAUUGCACAAUGGGGGAAACCCUGAUGCAGCGACGCCGCGUGAGCGAAGAAGUAUUUCGGUAUGUAAAGCUCUAUCAGCAGGGAAGAAAUUGACGGUACCUGAGUAAGAAGCCCCGGCUAACUACGUGCCAGCAGCCGCGGUAAUACGUAGGGGGCAAGCGUUAUCCGGAUUUACUGGGUGUAAAGGGGGCGCAGACGGCGAUGCAAGCCAGGAGUGAAAGCCCGGGGCCCAACCCCGGGACUGCUCUUGGAACUGCGUGGCUGGAGUGCAGGAGGGGCAGGCGGAAUUCCUGGUGUAGCGGUGAAAUGCGUAGAUAUCAGGAGGAACACCGGUGGCGAAGGCGGCCUGCUGGACUGCAACUGACGUUGAGGCCCGAAAGCGUGGGGAGCAAACAGGAUUAGAUACCCCCGUAA
rnacentral:rRNA from 1 species